GAUCUUUGCCUAGACAUGGGAGGGCGGGAGACAGAGGAACAAAAGUGGUUUUGUUUGGUGAUGCCUACCGGGAAAGGCAGCGAGCUGUUUGCUUGUUUACAACCAAGGUGAGAGUAAAGUUAUCUACUGAGAGUCCAAAGGGGAGGGGGAGUUGGUUUCUAAGCCAGGGAUCUAUUUGUGGACUUCAAAGAGGCAUGCUCGGAUCAAGUCCCAAAGCUUUGGCAUGAUGUUUAUUAGCCAAGAGAAGUGUAUUGCAAAUUAAUACCCGGAGUGGCAUUUAUGAAUGGGGGGGGGGAGGGAAGCUUCCCUCUUCGCUGGCAUAUUUCCAGCCAGAGGUCUUCCCUCAUCCCUCCCCCUUUUUUUUGGUAUGUUGUACUUGUUUGUUUUUGGAGGUUCCCAGUUUUAGUUCCAGCCCACUGCCUGCAUUGGAAAUCCAAGAGGAAACGAGUGCAGAGUUCUCCCGGAGCCUGACGUCCACUUCCUCACGGAUGCCGGAGGCCGGGUCAACCCUCCUGGCCUCUCUCCCUGGACUGGCGGCGGUGGAAACUGAGCAGCCAAAGCAGAAGCGGAGGAGACCACCGUGGAGUGACUUGUCCUGAAAUCACCAGGUUCGCGAUCUUGCUUAAGAGAGCCUCCUGCGUUGCCUGUUCUAUGAAUGACUCCAGUGAGAAGGAGAGGCUGUUGCGCACACUCCAGUGAAGACAGCUGUUACUGGAAAGAGUUAAGUUCAUUCAUUCAAAAGCGCCCUUUCGUAAGUCCUGGAGGAAUUUGCUAGAGGCGGUAGGUUCUCCAAGGCUUUCUGGGGGUGGGGACUUUUAAAGACAAUGGGUUGUCAAGUGUUAUGCAAAUAAUGAAAGCAAAGCCUAGGCCUGGUCCCCUCGGCUGGCCGAUUUAUUAGAGAACAGUUCCUCCUGCGCACAGUUCAUUGUUUCCAUCUUAGGGAAGCUCGGGAGGGUAGGGGGUGAGGGUGGAGAAGGCAAGGAACAGGGUAGAAGGAGGCGCUGGAGAAACAGAAUGGAGAGGAGGGUUCCUGGCUUCUGUUGUGGCGUCUUUUCUAUUUGACUUCAUGGUUGUAAGUAUUUCCAGAUGGUGAAUCAGACACCAGACGUAACAAUAUUUCCAUAUUUGGGUAUAGCAGUAGCCUGCGUUUUUAACAUUUUUCUCCCUCUGUUAUCCAACCACAAGGCAUUCUUGACAGCUUCAAAUGUUGUUAAAUAUAGACUUAACUUCUGUUCCCAGAGCAGGAAAUUCGUUGGAAUUCCUUGUUUUUCACGCAAUCUGUCUAUCAUGAUUUAAAAUAAAGUUGCAGUGGAUGAUCCA
rnacentral:lncRNA from 1 species